rnacentral:lncRNA from 1 species
CUUCUCGUCUGUCGCCAUGUGAGAUGUACCUUUCACUUUCCUCCAUGAUUGUGAGGCCUCCUUAGCCACAUGGAACUAAGUGGGAACAGAGGCCUAUGGGAGUAGUUGACUUGUCCAAAGACUCAGAGCUAGUGACUGAUGAAGUUGGGACUCAAAUCCUACAUUCUACCUCUUAAACCAGGAAACUUCCCUCUACACCCCACUGCUUCUGAAGAGAAAUGCUGGAGUCCUUCAUCAGAAUGGUAAAUGGCACUUGUGACAAAAAUCAAAGUAACUAAAAAAGAAUCUGGUUGAAAUCUCAGUAACAAUUGGCCUGUCUACUGCCUCACACUAACAAGGGGGAGCUAAUAAAACCGAGGUCAGAACACACAAUGUGGAAAUGAAAACCUUAUUCUUGUCAAUGGAUGGAGGUGACCCCCACCUUUACAAGUGUCUGUAAUUCUCACUAGCAGUAUAUUAGAGGGCAAAAGAUUUGAACAGACACAUCAGAAAAGAAGACAUACAAAUGGCUGCUAAGCACUUGAAAGGAUUCUGAACACCAUUAGUCAUCAGUGAAAUGCAAAUUAAAGCCAUAAUGAAUGGCGCUAUACAUUUUCAGAAUGGCAAGGAAUGAAGACUGAAAAAAAUCAAGCGUUGAGGAGAGUGACAAAUGGGGAGACAGCCGUGGUGCAUGAUGGCCGGAGAAAUACCAUGUGAGGAUACAGCAAGAAGGUGGCCAUCUACAAGCCAAGGAGACAGGCCUCAGAAGAAACCAACCCUUCUUACACCCUGGACUCAGACUUCUAAUCUCCAGAACUUGUUAAUGCACAAGGUCUUGUGUUGAAAAUGUAGAGCCACGAGAUAAAAGCAGCUUGGAUGGCUGACUCAUAUACAAGGGCAACUGCCUGAGAGUCACCAGGACUAUCAAGAAGUUUGCAGAAACAAGAAAUAAACUUUUACUGUUUUAAACUUUUGUGAAUUUUGGGUUUUGUUUAUCACCAAAUAAACCUAGUCUAUUCUGAUUGUUAUAAGUGGUUAAUUUGGGAAGUCAGAUAUAUUUAAAAUUGGCUUACUGCUGUAACAUAUACAGUCCAAAUUACAUAAUGGCUCCAAUGCAAUAGAAGUCUUUGUUUUUUUUUGCUCACAUAUCACUUCAUUGAGAUUCUGCAUUAAUUGUAAUGAGGAGGGUGGGGGUGUCUUAUAUCAUACAGUUGUUCAGCAACCCAGGAUGACCAACUUUGUAAUAUUUUUUCCCACUGGCUUCUAAAGUUCUCAUAGAUAGUAAAAUUCAUUUGGAAGAAGGAGAAACAGCAUGGAGGAUUGCAGAUGGAGAUUUUUAUGGGAAGGCUUGGAGGUUUGGAGGUUGCACAUUACUACUUUUACUUGUUGGCUAGGAAACUAUCAUGUGGUCACACCUAAGUGCCAGUGAGUCUGACAAUGUGGCAAUUUGGUUGCGGGCCAGGGGUAAGAGGCAAUAAAUUUUGCUCAAUAAUUAUCAGUUUUUGCCACAGAUGGAGGGACUUUUCAUUGUAUAACUAGUUGUUACUGUUUGAAUUUAAAACAGGAAAAUAUCAUUUUCAAAUAAAAACACAAAAGUGGCACAAAAAAUUCUUAUGAUUUUUUUUGCUUGAAUUUUGUGCAUUUAUUUGGCUAUUAUUAAAGUAAAUAAUUCUCUUUAUAGAAAAUGUAGAAAAUAACAAAAAAUAAAUAAGCAGAAAGUCAUCCAAUAACCCCCAUGAUCCCAGCAUAAUAAUCUUUUUUAAGGUAACUGAAAUGACCAUCCUUCUUUUACAAUUGCAAACGCUAACACCCAGGGAUUUUAAGAAAUUUGUCAACUCUAGUAAGUGGUAGAGCACAGAGAAAAGAAAAGCCAGGGAAGCUUUUACAGAGCAGGAGACAAGGAUAGAAAAGGACUUACGAAUGGGGAAACACAAUUGACAAAUUAUUUUAAAAUUUUGCAGGUUUAAUCGCAUGGAGAGAGAGAGCAUAGAACACGAGAAAUAUACCAAAGCAA